rnacentral:rRNA from 1 species
CCUACGGGUGGCUGCAGUGGGGAAUAUUGGACAAUGGGGGGAACCCUGAUCCAGCCAUGCCGCGUGUGUGAAGAAGGCCCUCGGGUUGUAAAGCACUUUCAGUGAGGAAGAACGCCUGGUGGUUAAUACCCAUCAGGAAAGACAUCACUCACAGAAGAAGCACCGGCUAACUCCGUGCCAGCAGCCGCGGUAAUACGGAGGGUGCGAGCGUUAAUCGGAAUUACUGGGCGUAAAGCGCGCGUAGGUGGCUUGAUAAGCCGGUUGUGAAAGCCCCGGGCUCAACCUGGGAACGGCAUCCGGAACUGUCACGCUAGAGUGCAGGAGAGGAAGGUAGAAUUCCCGGUGUAGCGGUGAAAUGCGUAGAGAUCGGGAGGAAUACCAGUGGCGAAGGCGGCCUUCUGGACUGAAACUGACACUGAGGUGCGAAAGCGUGGGUAGCAAACAGGAUUAGAUACCCUAGUAGUC